rnacentral:rRNA from 1 species
AGCUGCAGAAGAAGCACCGGCUAACUCCGUGCCAGCAGCCGCGGUAAUACGGAGGGUGCGAGCGUUAAUCGGAAUUACUGGGCGUAAAGCGCAUGCAGGUGGUUUGUUAAGUCAGAUGUGAAAGCCCGGGGCUCAACCUCGGAAUUGCAUUUUGAAACUGGCAAACUAGAGUACUGUAGAGGGGGUAGGAAUUUCUAGGUGUAGCGGUGAAAUAGCGUAGAGAUCUGAAGGAAUACCGGUGGCGAAGGCGGCCCCCUCGGACAGAUACUGACACUCAGAUGCGAAAGACGUGGGGAGGCAAACAGGAUUAGAUACCCUCGGUAG